UACAGAGGUGGCAAGCGUUGUUCGGAAUUACUGGGCGUAAAGGGCGCGUAGGCGGUCUUGUAAGUCCCGUGUGAAAUCCCUCGGCUCAACUGAGGAACUGCACGGGAAACUGCCUGACUUGAGUUCGGGAGAGGGAAGCGGAAUUCCGGGUGUAGCGGUGAAAUGCGUAGAUAUCCGGAGGAACACCGGUGGCGAAGGCGGCUUCCUGGACCGACACUGACGCUGAGGCGCGAAAGCUAGGGGAGCAAACGGG
rnacentral:rRNA from 1 species